rnacentral:rRNA from 1 species
UACGGGGGGGGCAAGCGUUGUUCGGAAUUACUGGGCGUAAAGGGUUCGUAGGUGGCCUACUAAGUCAGACGUGAAAUCCCUCAGCUUAACUGGGGAACUGCGUCUGAUACUGGGGGGCUUGAGUGCAGGAGAGGAACGCGGAAUUCCAGGUGUAGCGGUGAAAUGCGUAGAUAUCUGGAGGAACACCGGCGGCGAAGGCAGAUCUCUGGGCCGUAACUGACGCUGAGGAGCGAAAGCGUGGGGAGCGAACAGG